CAUGGAGGUUCCCAGGCUAGAGGUCAAAUUAAAGCUACAGCUGUGGGCCUACACCACAGCCACAGCAAUGUUGGAUCAAAGCCAUAUCUAUGACCUACACCACAGCUCAUGGCAAUGCCGGAUCCUUAAUCUGCAGAACGAGGCCAGCAAUAGAACCAGCAACCUUAUGGUUCCUAGUUGGAUUUAGUUCCACUGCACCAUGAGAGGAACUCUCUGUAAAUACAUUGUGUUUAUUCUUCCUAAUCAAUUGUUCAGGUCAUUUGACUCUCUUACAGACUUGUGUAAGUCCUCUUUGUAUUAAAGAUUUAAAAUUUGCACUCUCAUGCUCCUAGUGCAAAAUUUCCCCAGUCACCAUUCAUCCGUCCAUUUUCUUUUUGAUGUGUUGAACUAAAUGGGUUUUCACUUUAUAAAAAUGAAACCGAUAAAAAAAAAUUCCUCCUUCUGACUCUUCUGCCAGUGUUAUCAUUGGAAAUUCUUUUCUGCAUAGAGUUCAUGUGAUCAAUAAAUUGUUGUUUUUUUUUUGUUUCAGUAAGAUGUGUUAUUUUUUAAGACGAGUCUUACUGAGAUGUAAUUCAUACACCAUAAAAUUCAUUUUAAAGGCUAUAAUUCAGUGGCUUUCAGUAUGUGGUGUGUUAUUUAUUUACUUUUUUGGCUAUGCCCACAUCAACAGAAGUUCACAGGCCAGGCAUCAAACACAUGGCACAGUACUGACCUGAGCCACAGCACUGUGGUACAGGUUACAAUUACAGCACAGGUUCAAUCCUUGGUCCAGGAACUUCCACAUUCCACAGGUAUGGCCAAAAAAAAGAGUUUCCUCUCAAUUUCAAGUCCCAUAAUUAUUCAAAAUCAGGAUGCUGACAAUAAUGGGACUCUCAUUCAUUCAAAUAUAGCAUAUAUAUUUUCCCUCAGGGUGUUUCUUUCUACUAUAAUUUCCUCCUCUGUGGCACUUUACUGCAAGCCUAUCUAGUUUAACUGCCAUGUCAUCUUCAAAAUGUGCCCUCUCACACCAGCCCACUCUAAUCAUCAGACAGGAUCUCUUUUUCUUGUGAGCUCCACUAUCCCUUUUACCUAAUCUUCCUAUUCCCACCAUUCUAAGAUCAAGAAUAACAAUAAAUCUUGCCAAUUCCAUUUAGCAUUGUACUAGAGGUUCUAAACAGCAUGUCUAAGGAAGAAAAGGAAAUAUAAGGCACUUAGAUUGUAAAGAAGGAAAAUUGUCUCUACUUGCAAAUGGCAGAUUCUGUAUAGUUUUAAAUUCUUAAGAAAUCAAUCCCCCCCAGAACCUAGUAGAAAUAAUAAACAGUCUGAAUUCAACACAAUCCCAUUACAAAUCUCAGCUAUAUAUAUUUCUUUUGCAUAAAAUGACAAGCUGAUCCUAAAAUUCACAUGGAAAUGAAAUAGAACCAGAAUAACCAGUCCUUUCUUGAAAAUGAAGACUAAUGUUGGUAGACUCACACUUCCUGAUUUCAAAACUUACUACAAACUAAAUAACUAAGAAGUAAUUUAUGCUUAGUACUUCACAUGAAAAGAUUCUAAUCAUCACAAAUCAUCAGAGAAAGCAAAUCAAACUGCAAUGAGAUAUUGCUUCACACCUGUCAAAAUGGCCAUCAUCAAAAAGAACAUGAAUAACAAAUGUUGGUAAGGAUGCAAAGAAAAGGCAACCCUCAUACACUGUUGGUGGAUCUGUAAAUUGGUGCAGCCAUUAUGGAAAGCAGUAUAGUAGUUUCUCCAAAAACUGAAGUAGAACUACCCUAUGACCCAAAAAUUCCACUCGGGUGCAUAACCCCCCCAAAAGAAAACCAAAUAACAAAAACAAAACACUAAUUCAAAAAGAUACAUGCACCCCAAUAUUCAUAGCAGCAUUAUUUACAAUUGCCAAGAUAUGGAAGCAACCUAAGUGUCCAUCAACAGAUGAAUGGACACACACACAUAUAAAUAGAUGAAUGGACACACACACACACACACAUAUAAAUACACAUAUAAACACAAUGAGCUACUACUCAGACAUAAAGAAAAUGAAAUUGUGCCAAUUGCAACACCAUGGGUGGUACUGGAGAACCACAUGCUAAGUGAAAAAACUCAGAAAAAGAUAACUAAAUAUAUGACAUCACUUAUAUAUGGAAUGUUAAAAGUACAACACACUAGGGAACAUAACAAAAAAGAAGCAGACUCACAGAUACAGAGAACAAAUCAGUGGUCACCAGUGAGGAGAAGGAAGAGGGGAGGGGCAAGACCAGUUCAGAAGAUUAAUACAUACACACUAUUAGGUAUAAAAUAAGCCACAUGGAUAUACUGUACAGCAUGGGGAAUAUAGCCAAUAUUUUAUAAUAACUAUAGAAGGAGUAUAAUAUUAAAAUUAUGAAUCACUAUAUAUAAUACAAGUGUACACUAUAUAAUUAUUGUAGAAAAACUAGACUUCAAUUAACAGGACAAUGAUACACAAGCAUUAUGCCAGACAAAGGAAUACAAUUGAGAGUCCACAAACAAACCUUCACAUUUAUGGGCAAUUUGUUUUCAAGAAGACUUCCAGGGAAAUUCAAGGGGGAAAGAACAGUGCUUUCAACAAACCAUGCUGAUAAAACUGAAUCGCCAGAUGCAAAAGAAUGAAAAUGGACCUUCAUCUCACACUUCAUGCAAAAAUUAAUUCAGAAGGAUGAUAGGGAUCAAUGCAAGAGCUUAAACUACAGGACACUUAGAGAAAAGCAUGGGAGUGAGACUCUUUCUGACCUUAGAUUAGGCAAUGGUUUCCUAAGCAUGACACCAAACUGCUUGUCUAUACAAGCAGUAAUAGAAAACAUGGAUCAACAGGAAUUCAUCAAAAUCACCAAGUUUUUUACUUCAAAAGAUACCAUCAGGAGAGUGAAUAGACAACCCAUGGAAAGGUAGAAAUAUAUCCAAAUCAUAUAGUUGAUAAGAUAUUGGUAUAAGCAUAUAUGAAGAAUUCUUACACUUCAGCAAAACGACUAAUAAACCAAUUUUAAAAUGUGCAAAGGAUUUAAAGAGACAUUUUUCCAAAAGAAAAAAUACAAAUGGCCAAUUAACUCAACAUCAUUAAUCAUUGGGGAAUACUAAUCAAAAUCACAAUGAGAUACCCCUUCACUUCCACUAAUAUGGUUAAUUUUUUAAAAAAGUAUUAAUGGACAAUGUUAAAAUGUUAGCAAGGAAUGAGAGGAGGGUGAACACUUCUGUAUUGGUAGUAAGCACUUAAUAUAAAGUAGCCAAUUUGGAAAACAUGGGCAGUUUCACAAAAAGUUCAAACAUAGAGUUACCAUACCACACAGCAAUUCCAUUCCUAGGUAUAUAACUAAGAAAACCUACAUCCAUAUAAAAGCUUGUACAUGAAUGUUCAUAGCAGCACUAUUCAUAAUAAUCAAAGAGCAGAAACCACAUGAAAAAGCACAUAAUUGUUUAAAAUUUUCUGUUAACUCUAGUAUCAGCUUAGGCCCACAAUAAACAAAUGCAAAAACAUAAUUAGGGGAAAAUAUAUUAGGGAAGAUGCUUUUGAAAGAUCAAGAGGACAGGAUGACACUCACACAUAAGCCCCUCCAUUCAUAUAAAGUGUAAUUCAGUUGCCAUGGAGGAGGGGGAAGAAAACCCACCUGUCUGUUCAUGAACUGGCCCCUGAAAAAAGAGCCAGCCACCAUUCCCCCACCCCAGAAUGGUAGGAGGCAGUUUUCAUAAGCAAGGGAACUUACUUACAAGGCUUUUCUUUGAAGCCAAAAGCAGCUCUCCACCCCUGCUGGCCAGGAUCUUGAAAGCUUUUACAGAGGCCCUCAGUGGGUUCAGACACACAUGUUGUCCAUAGAGUCUCAGCAACACACUGUUGCUUCAAGGCUGCCUCCUCGAAAAUGGCUCCCAGCCUAAGAACCGAGGUCAGAGUGUACAUUUCAAGGACAUAGGCAGGGUCAAGACACCUCCAAUCAGCCAAGUCCAACUUGCAGGUCAAUCAGCAGUUACCUUUUCUCUGUCCUCUCAGUGACCUCUCCAGAUGUAACUGAACAGGUCCCUAGGGGGGCUUCCUUGGAAAUACCCCCUGCUCCCCUGCUCCACCCCAUGUUCUUGGCCUUCUGCUGGUUUGUAAACAAACAUUAGCUUCCUCGGCCUUCCUCGAGUUCCAAGGAAUACAUUUAAUCAGAGAAUUGAGAAAAGUACAGAUAGAAAAGGAAACAAGCCAGACCAAAAAAAAUAAUACUAAUUUAGCCACAAAACAAAGUCAAGGACUUUUAGUUCCUCCUCAAGGGCUACAGGUAAUAUUCUGAGCCAUUCCCUUUGAGCUGUUUGGCAGAUACUGAAACCCCUACCAGGUGGGAAAAAUUAACUGCUUGCUAACCACAAGCACGUGGACCAGUUGGAACCCAAAGGCUGAUGAUGUUGACUCCUGAUUACCUCACCACCAACCAAUCAGAGGAAUGUCUCCCAGCUUGUUGUGCACCUGCAACCCUCUCCCUCACUCUGUCUUUAAAAAUCUUUCCCUAAAAGCUAUCAGACUUUGUUUUAUUUUGUUUUUAUGGCCUCACCCAUGGAAUAUGGAAGUUACCAGCCCAGCAAGUGGGAGCUGUAGCCUCUGAUCUAUGCUACAGCCACUGCAAUGCAGGAUCCAAGAUACAUCUGCAACCUACACCACAGCUCAUGGCAACACCAGAUCCUUAACCCACUGAGCAAACCUGUGUCCUCAUGGUCACUAGUUAGAUUCCUUUCUGCUGAGCUAUGACAGGAACUCACCAUCUAUCAGGAUUUUGGGGCAUUAGCCACCUUGUUGCCCUGCAACAAA
rnacentral:lncRNA from 1 species